UACGUAGGGCGCAAGCGUUAUCCGGAAUUACUGGGCGUAAAGCGUGCGCAGGCGGUUUUGUAAGUCAGAUGUGAAAGCCCCGGGCUCAACCUGGGAAUGGCAUUUGGGACUGCAAGGCUGGAGUUUGGCAGAGGAGAGUGGAAUUCCUGGUGUAGCGGUGAAAUGCGCAGAUAUCAGGAAGAACACCCGUGGCGAAGGCGGCUCUCUGGGACGGUACUGACGCUGAGACGCGAAAGCCAGGGGAGCAAACGGG
rnacentral:rRNA from 1 species